rnacentral:lncRNA from 1 species
GAGGGGGUAGGAAGGAGGGGAGGGAGGGGGAGAGUUGGGAUUCUCUCUCACUCACUCUCUCGUUCUCUUUUCUUAAAGGGGCCGCGCGGGACGACGGGGUGGGCGCGCGGGCCCAGACGGGGACUUCGAGGGCGCGGGCUGGGACGUCAUUUUUUCAUUGCGAAGACCAAAUGCGCGGAACGUGAGCGGUCAUUUCGAGGGGCCGCACCUGGGGACGGAGCCCAAGCCCCCGCUCUGUUUGAAGAAUAGCCGCGUCUGUUUGCCACACUUCCGCGCCCUCGUUUUUUCGCCACCCUCCUCCUCUUCCUUCCCGCCGAGGGUGAUGAGAACUACAGGACUGAUUGCCUGAACUCCUGGGCCUUUCAUCCAAAACCCGAACCAAAGAGGGUUGAGGUCUUCUCAGGAGGCAGUUGGAAGGGGCAUGUUUGUUGGCAGUGUUUGAGGAAUUGUGGCAAGCAGAAGCGGUCACAGAACAACGGAUAGAAGCGAGUGUACUGCAGAAAGGGGGGAAAAUGGAUUCCAUAGACCACAAACGGGUAAGCCUGGUGAUAUUCCUUAGACUAACUCGAAAUAAUAAUACUGUAUUAUGUCUUUAAUGCCCAUUUCGCGUGCUAGGAGCUAAGGAAGCAGAAAUAAAGAUGCAGUCUUGUCCGAAUUCA